GAAAAUGGAGAGCUUAUCAGAGGCUUGAGUUCACACAGGCAGACACGGCGUGGGGGUAAAGUCCUCUGAACAGACACGGAACAGAAAUAAGUUAGUCUUCUCCUCGCAGGGGACAGUGAACGGCGCAAACUUCUCAAAGGCCAGAACCCAUUAUUACCACAAAGGCGCGGCAUCCCUUCUUAGCGGUUAUGAUGGCUGUGACGUCUCAGCUCAAUGGAAAAUUAAAGUCACCUCUGGGCACCUCAGUCACUAUUGUAAAUGCGAAGCGUUUUAGAAGCCGUAUAAAAACUGAAGCAAGAGAGACUAGAACAAAAAAUAAGCGAGCGGUGCGUUGCAGGUAACGGAGCCAGAGCCCUUAGGGGAGAGCAUCAUGGGGGCGGCCAUCUUAGGGGACGUUCGGUGUCCGUACGGCAGAACAUAUUCUCUCUGAGAAGCUUGCGGUGGAACUGGCCCAUGGAAAUGUCUUUAGAAGAGAAGAACCACCUGGCUCUGUUCUUGACUCUGGAAAAGAAUCCUUUUCUAGAAUUAUUUAGGUUGUUGCCAGAUUAAUUUCCUUUAGAGAGUUUCCUUGCCCCCACGACUUCCUAUCUUUAAAGCCAACAAUAGUAUGUGAAAUCCCUUUCAUAUUUGAAACCACUGACUAUUGCUGCUGCAUCUCUCCGGUUUCUCCUAUUCUUAAGUGCUUGGGCAAUCCAGAAUAAUCUCCCAAUGCUAAAGUCAGCUGAUUAAUAAACUUAAUUACAAUGCA
rnacentral:lncRNA from 10 species